rnacentral:rRNA from 1 species
AUGGCGCAAAGGGCGCCUCCUGGCGAUGUCCACGUCAGAUUAGCUACAAGACAAAGAGGUUUAUAUCCUCUGGAGAAGAAAGAGAGAAAGGGAUUGGGCAGGCGAAGAGAGAAAGGGAUUGGCCCCAAGUCCCCAUCCCCCGAUUCCUCUCCCUCUACCUUUCCCUCGUUGCCGCCGCCGCCACCGACGACCUCCCUGCAGCCGCCGCCAUCAGUCACGCCCUCCCCAAUGGCUGACUCUUCCACCCCUUUUCUCCUCCCCUUAACUUCUCCUCACCAUCGGCGACCUGUCCUCCCCCUCGCACCAGAUCGAGCAGCAGCUCGGGCAGGGCAGAGCGGACGCCACCACCACCACUCAACGCCGGCCUCCCCCACAGCCGCCGCCACCACCCGCGCCCUCCACCACAUCUGGCGCACCCACCCCUUCCAUCCUCUCCUCACCUUCUCCCCACCAACGACGACCUCCUCCCCUCUUCCUCGUCACAGAUCGACCAGCGGGUCCGGAUCUGAUGCAGGCUCAGAUCCGGCACACCCGCAGCGCUUGUUCCACUUGAGGACGUCAUGGACAUGGUGCUCUAGCACUGGUGCUGCAGUCAUGGACAAGGAGAUUAUCACUUUCUACCUCUCUGUGUUGAAUUAA